rnacentral:rRNA from 1 species
UACAGAUGGGGCCAGCGUUAUUCGGAAUUAUUGGGCGUAAAGGGCGCGUAGGCGGCCAUGCGUGUCUUCCGUGAAAUCCCUCGGCUUAACUGAGGACGUGCGGAAGAAACUGCAAGGCUUGAGUCCGGGAGAGGGGGGUGGAAUUCCCAGUGUAGCGGUGAAAUGCGUAGAUAUUGGGAGGAACACCGGUGGCGAAGGCGGCCCCCUGGACCGGUACUGACGCUGAGGCGCGAAAGCGUGGGUAGCAAACGGG